rnacentral:rRNA from 1 species
AUGGCCCUUUUCGACCAUUUCCAUCAAGGUAAGCUUGAUGUAAAAUGUCUCAAUUAUGGGAUUAUUACCCUUCUGCCUAAAGUGUCUAGUGCUGAGAGAAUUCAGCAAUUUAGGCCAAUUUGUUUGCUCCGUUGCCCCUAUAAGCUCAUAACUCAAGUGCUCGGCCGCAGGGUUGCAGUAUACGCUGAUAAACUAAUCAGCCUCACCCAGAAUGCUUUUGUGAAAGGGAGGAACAUCAUGGAUGGUGUGCUCUCACUCCAUGAGAUUCUCAACUAUAUAUACACAUGUCAAGAAAAAAGUGGGAAUUGUCCUUAA